rnacentral:rRNA from 1 species
GACGAACGCUGGCGGCGUGCCUAAUACAUGCAAGUCGAGCGGAUCUUCAUUAGCUUGCUUUUGAAGAUCAGCGGCGGACGGGUGAGUAACACGUGGGCAACCUGCCUGUAAGACUGGGAUAACUUCGGGAAACCGGGGCUAAUACCGGAUAAUCCUUUCCCUCACAUGAGGGAAAGCUGAAAGACGGUUUCGGCUGUCACUUACAGAUGGGCCCGCGGCGCAUUAGCUAGUUGGUGAGGUAACGGCUCACCAAGGCGACGAUGCGUAGCCGACCUGAGAGGGUGAUCGGCCACACUGGGACUGAGACACGGCCCAGACUCCUACGGGAGGCAGCAGUAGGGAAUCUUCCGCAAUGGACGAAAGUCUGACGGAGCAACGCCGCGUGAGCGAUGAAGGCCUUCGGGUCGUAAAGCUCUGUUGUCAGGGAAGAACAAGUAUCGGAGUAACUGCCGGUACCUUGACGGUACCUGACCAGAAAGCCACGGCUAACUACGUGCCAGCCGCCGCCGUAACAC